rnacentral:rRNA from 1 species
GACGAACGCUGGCGGCGUGCUUAACACAUGCAAGUCGAACGGAAAGGCCUUUUCGGAGGUACUCGAGUGGCGAACGGGUGAGUAACACGUGGGUGAUCUGCCCUGCACUCUGGGAUAAGCCUGGGAAACUGGGUCUAAUACCGGAUAGGACCGCACUUUAGUGUGUGUGGUGGAAAGUUUUUUCGGGGUAGGAUGAGCCCGCGGCCUAUCAGCUUGUUGGUGGGGUAAUGGCCUACCAAGGCGGCGACGGGUAGCCGGACUGAGAGGUUGGUCGGCCACAUUGGGACUGAGAUACGGCCCAGACUCCUACGGGAGGCAGCAGUGGGGAAUAUUGAACAAUGGGCGCAAGCCUGAUGCAGCGACGCCGCGUGGGGGAUGACGGCCUUCGGGUUGUAAACUACUUUCGCCAGGGACGAAGCGUUUUGUGACGGUACCUGGAGAAGAAGCACCGGCUAACUACGUG